GCCAUAGCUCAGUGGUGGAGUGUCUGCUUUGCAUGCAGAGGUUCCCAGGUUCAAUCCCCGCUAGCAUCU